rnacentral:rRNA from 1 species
UACGUAGGGGGCUAGCGUUGUCCGGAAUCAUUGGGCGUAAAGCGCGUGUAGGCGGCCCGGUAAGUCCGCUGUGAAAGUCGGGGGCUCAACCCUCGGAUGCCGGUGGAUACUGUCGGGCUCGAGUGACGGAAGAGGCGAGUGGAAUUCCUGGUGUAGCGGUGAAAUGCGCAGAUAUCAGGAGGAACACCAAUUGCGAAGGCAGCUCGCUGGGACGUUACUGACGCUGAGACGCGAAAGCGUGGGGAGCAAACAGG